rnacentral:rRNA from 1 species
AUGCAAGAAGGGCACACAGUCGCCUACUACAGCAAGGCAUUGGGGGUGAAGAAUCAGAAACUUUCCACUUACGAGAAGGAAAUUUUGGCGGUCAUGAUGGCAGUGGACAAGUGGCGCUCCUACCUGCAGCGCGGGGCGUUCACUAUCCUCACUGACCACAAGAGCCUGUGCACACUGGGUGAUCAACAGUUGGUGACGGACGUCCAGCGCCGUGCAAUGUCAAAGCUGGUGGGGCUGCAGUUCAAAUUUCAGUACAAGCGCGGCAUCGACAAUGGCGCAGCAGACGCGCUAUCCCGCGUGGGCAGCCACUUCAGCGCCCACGCCUUGUCUCUCUGUCAACCCGCGUGGAUCCAGGAGGUAGCUAAUUCCUAUGUCACUGAUCCAAACGCUCAAGAAUGA